rnacentral:tRNA from 1 species
AUACAUCUAUUGUAAAAUUAAGCAAAUCUAUUUUCCAAAUAGAAAGUCGGAAAAUCCGGUUGUAUA